rnacentral:rRNA from 1 species
AAGCGCCCGUGGCCAGACCUGAGCCCGGCGGAUCAGCCAGCGUUCUCGCUGACGCACGCCGCCGGGCCCAGGCCAGCAUCGGCCUCCUUAGGGGGACAAAAGCCCCGGGAACGUAGCUCCUCCGGGAGUGUUAUAGCCCGCUGCAGAAUACCCUUAGGGGGGCCGAGGUUCGCGCUCCGCAAGGAUGCUGGCGUAAUGGCCACAGGCGG